UACGUAGGGUGCGAGCGUUAAUCGGAAUUACUGGGCGUAAAGUGUGCGCAGGUGGCCGCGCAUGUCGAGUGUAAAAUCCCCGGGCUUAACUUGGGAAUUGCGCUCGAAACUACGUGGCUCGAGUGUGGCAGAGGAAGGUGGAAUUCCACGUGUAGCGGUGAAAUGCGUAGAGAUGUGGAGGAACACCGAUGGCGAAGGCAGC
rnacentral:rRNA from 1 species